rnacentral:rRNA from 1 species
UACGUAGGGGGCAAGCGUUGUCCGGAAUUAUUGGGCGUAAAGAGCGUGUAGGCGGUCCGGUAAGUCAGCUGUGAAAGUCCAAGGCUCAACCUUGGGAUGCCGGUGGAUACUGUCGAGCUCGAGUCCGGAAGAGGAGUGUGGAAUUCCGUGGUGUAGCGGUGAAAUGCGCAGAUAAUCAGGAGGAACACCAAUUGCGAAGGCAGCUCGCUGGGACGUUAACUGACGCUGAGACGCGAAAGCGUGGGGAGCAAACAGG